ACGAACGCUGGCGGCGUGCUUAACACAUGCAAGUCGAACGGAGUGCCCAUGACAGAGGCUUCGGCCAAUGGAUUGGGUUACUUAGUGGCGGACUGGUGAGUAACGCGUGAGGAACCUGCCUUUCAGAGGGGGACAACAGUUGGAAACGACUGCUAAUACCGCAUAAUAUCAUCGAAUGGCAUCAUUUGAUGAUCAAAGGAGCAAUCCGCUGAAAGAUGGGCUCGCGUCCAAUUAGAUAGUUGGUGAGGUAACGGCCCACCAAGUCGACGAUUGGUAGCCGGACUGAGAGGUUGAACGGCCACAUUGGGACUGAGAUACGGCCCAGACUCCUACGGGAGGCAGCAGUGGGGGAUAUUGCACAAUGGAGGAAACUCUGAUGCAGCGAUGCCGCGUGAGGGAAGAAGGUUUUCGGAUUGUAAACCUCUGUGGAGCGGGACGAUAAUGACGGUACCGCUCAAGGAAGCCACGGCUAACUACGUG
rnacentral:rRNA from 1 species